UUGGACCCUUUUCUUCCCUCUCUUACAUCUCUCAACCAUUCUUUCUGUGUAUCUAUGUUCUAUCAUGGAAUCCCUACAAUUCACACAGCAUUUUCACCAAUCCCAAUUCCAUUUUAUGAACAAAUACUCUCCCAAACUAAAACCCAAAAUCUCCUUCAGGACCUUUUGGGUUUCUUCUUCUCAUUCUGCUUCUUCUUCCACUCUCACCAAAACCCAGAAUCUGACUGAUUCUCCAACCGUAGUUCCUGAAAAAAAGCGCAGAGCUAAGGCUUCUAAUACCCAAUUCAAAGAGAAUUGGUUGGCUUCACUCUCUUACCCUUUUCCAGAAAAGACCCAUCUUUUGAACUGUGAGCAUGACCCGACCCAACAAAAUGACGGGUUCAAAUGGGUCCUUGGAAUUGACCCGGAUGUCUCUGGUGCAGUUGCACUGUUGAAAACGAACGGUUCCGUUUCUUCAGCUCAGGUAUUUGACUCUCCUCAUGUAAAAAUACUUGUUGGCCAGAAAAAUAGGACUCGAAGGCGCUUAGAUGCCAAGUCUGUUGUCCAGUUGCUUCGUAGUUUUGACGCUCCAAUUGGAACCACUGCGUACAUAGAGCAGUCGCUCCCUUUUCCACAAGAUGGGAAACAGGGCUGGUGGAGUGGAGGAUUUGGAUAUGGGCUAUGGAUUGGCGUCUUAGUUGCCUCAGGGUUUUCUGUUAUUCCAGUGCCAUCUUUCACUUGGAAAGCGAAAUUUGAACUCUCUGGAAGCAUGACUUCUAAGGAUGAUAGCAGGAGACUGGCAUCAACAUUAUUUCCAUCACUGACUUCCAUGUUAAGUAGGAAAAAAGAUCAUGAUUAAGGAACUAAAUCCAUAUGGCUUUUAAAGUUUGAGGAUGAAGUCCAUCGAUAUGAAAGUUGGACCUUGACUAAAUUACCAAUGGCUUAUCAAGUGCGAAACAUCAGUGAGCAAUAAUUGUAGAUUUUCUUCUAAAGGAAGGGCAGAGGCUUUACUAAUUGCAGCAUAUGGUCAAGAUCAAAGCAAAAGCUUGGAACCAUCUUGUUGUGCCACUGUUCACAAUUUUGAAACAUGAAAAUUAGCAUAUUCAAGAGCUUCAGUCUCUUCUAUCUAAUUUGACUAGCAUUUGUAAUUUUGGCCUAAAUAGUAUUGUAAACUUUUUGUUUGCUAUCUUAUUACAAUGCCUAUAUUUUCUCUUCAAAUAAGUGUACGCAGAUAAAGUAAAAAGCUUGGUUGAUCUAAAAUUCAAGUGAGAGGAGAAGACUUCAGGGCAUUAUGUGAAGAGUUCGA